AUACGGAGGGUGCAAGCGUUACUCGGAAUCACUGGGCGUAAAGCGCGCGCAGGCGGGCUGAUAAGUUGGAUGUGAAAGCCUACGGCUCAACCGUAGAACUGCAUCCAAAACUGUCAGUCUAGAGUCUGGGAGGGGAAGAUGGAAUUAGUUGUGUAGGGGUAAAAUCCGUAGAGAUAACUAGGAAUACCAAAAGCGAAGGCGAUCUUCUGGAACAGUACUGACGCUGAGGCGCGAAAGCGUGGGGAGCAAACAGGAGUAGAUACCCGAGUAGUCC
rnacentral:rRNA from 1 species